rnacentral:rRNA from 1 species
UACGUAGGGGGCUAGCGUUGUCCGGAAUCAUUGGGCGUAAAGAGCGUGUAGGCGGUCCGGUAAGUCCGCUGUGAAAGUCGGGGGCUCAACCCUCGAAUGCCGGUGGAUACUGUCGGGCUAGAGUGCGGAAGAGGAGAGUGGAAUUCCUGGUGUAGCGGUGAAAUGCGCAGAUAUCAGGAGGAACACCAAUUGCGAAGGCAGCUCGCUGGGACGUUACUGACGCUGAGACGCGAAAGCGUGGGGAGCAAACAGG